ensembl:lncRNA
GUAGAAGUAGUAGUAAAAUACACUGUCUUUAAUGCUACACGGUGGAACAUUCCAGAAAAACACCUCCAUGGAGACGAGCAGGAAAAGCUCCACAGUGCAUCUUUAAAGCCACUUGAACUGGAAUAGACACGACUGUAUAACCUUCUCUUAGACGUGUGUUGUGUCCGUGUCGUUUGUUUCCGUUAGCUCCAGAAUUACCUCCAAAAAAUAGUUUUGAGAUAAAAAAAAUUGUACAUAAAUGUUUAAAGACGCGGAACUGACGGAAAAACCUGAAAAUGAUGUUUUUAUCUUUGUAACGAGGGUUUGAAAAAUUAAACUAAGUCAAAAGGCAAAUAAACAAUGUGUCUUUAUUUGUCCACUUUGUCCUGUCUCCAGCGUCCACUCCCCCUCAUCACUCCCUAUAAGUGGCCAGUGCAAGGUGUGGGAGCCCAGCGCUUCAAUUUUUAUCAUUCCAAGGCACGUUCAAUUAUUGAGCGUGCCUUUGGAAUGAUGAAAACAAGAUUCAGGGCCAUCUUUUUUCAUGCGCUGGAGGUCCACCACACUUUUGCACCACAUGUCAUCACUGCCUGUGCCGUCCUCCAUAACAUCUGCCUUGGGGCAGGAGACAUCGUGGCCCUGGAGGACGAGCCACAGGAGAAUGUAGUGGAGGACGAGGGGGACAAUGAAGUGGAGGCCGUCGCUGGAGCACAGUGGACCAGCUGUCUGCUGAGGUCUCUGCCCUGGAGGAGGUGCUCAUGGAUCAUAAUUAUAUCUAGAUUUUUCGAUAGUGACAUGCCAGUCAUCUAUUGCCCCAGCCAGCCCUGCAAACCCAGCCCAUGAACGAUGCAGUGGACAGUGGAGCAGCACCCGGUGUGAGGGCCCCACGUACCAGCCAGAAGAUGAAGACCUCAAUCUCAGCACUGUCAAUUUGGUCCAGGCAGAGAAGGUUGAUUAGCACUGCCAAGGUCCCUGGAAGUGUGUCUUCAUGAUUAAAACCUGGCACUGGCUCACUCAG